ACUCCGGUUGAUCCUGCCGGACCCGACUGCUAUCGGAUUGGGAUUUAGCCAUGUUAGUUGUGCGUUCCUUGGCUACAGGGGACGCAGCAUACGGCUCAGUAACACGUAGUCAACCUGCCCUGGAGACGCGGACAAACCCGGGAAACUGGGGCCUAUCCGCGAUAGAUGACCUCAUCUGGAAGGAGAGGUCGUCCAAAAGGGUGCACGGGUAUGCUCUGUGCAAACCGCUCCAGGAUGGGACUGCGGCCGAUCAGGCUGUUGGCGGGGUAAUGGCCCACCAAACCUGUAACCGGUACGGGCUUUGAGAGAAGGAGCCCGGAGAUGGACACUGAGACAAGGGUCCAGGCCCUACGGGGCGCAUCAGGCGCGAAAACUUCGCAAUGCGCGAAAGCGUGACGAGGCUAGUCCGAGUGCCUCCCGCUGAGGGGGGCUUUUCUCGGCUGUAAAUAGGCCGGGGAAUAAGGGGAGGGCAAGUCUGGUGUCAGCCGCCGCGGUAAUACCAGCUCCUCGAGUGGUCGGGACGAUUAUUGGGCCUAAAGCACCCGUAGCCGGUUCAGUAAGUCCUCUGUCAAAUCCAACCGCUCAACGGUUGGCUCGCAGGGGAUACUGCUGGACUAGGAGGCGGGAGAGGCGGACGGUACUCCGCGUGUAGGGGUAAAAUCCUUUGA
rnacentral:rRNA from 1 species